rnacentral:rRNA from 1 species
GAAUUCACUAGUGAUUAGAGUUUGAUCAUGGCUCAGAACGAACGCUGGCGGCAGGCUUAACACAUGCAAGUCGAGCGCCCCGCAAGGGGAGCGGCAGACGGGUGAGUAACGCGUGGGAAUCUACCCAACCCUACGGAACAACAGUUGGAAACGACUGCUAACACCGUAUACGCCCUUAGGGGGAAAGAUUUAUCGGGGAUGGAUGAGCCCGCGUUGGAUUAGCUAGUUGGUGGGGUAAAGGCCUACCAAGGCGACGAUCCAUAGCUGGUCUGAGAGGAUGAUCAGCCACAUUGGGACUGAGACACGGCCCAAACUCCUACGGGAGGCAGCAGUGGGGAAUAUUGGACAAUGGGCGCAAGCCUGAUCCAGCCAUGCCGCGUGAAUGAUGAAGGCCUUAGGGUUGUAAAGUUCUUUCACCGGAGAAGAUAAUGACGGUAUCCGGAGAAGAAGCCCCGGCUAACUUCGUGCCAGCAGCCGCGGUAAUACGAAGGGGGCUAGCGUUGUUCGGAAUUACUGGGCGUAAAGCGCACGUAGGCGGACAUUUAAGUCAGGGGUGAUAUCCCGGGGCUCAUCCUCGGGAACUGCCUUUGAUACUGGGUGUCCUGA